rnacentral:rRNA from 1 species
GACGAACCGUGCGAACGUUGUUCGGAAUCACUGGGCUUAAAGGGCGCGUAGGCGGGCGAUCAAGUCAGGGGUGAAAUCCUCCGGCUCAACCGGAGAACUGCCUCUGAUACUGGUCAUCUUGAGUGAGGUAGGGGCGUGCGGAACUGAUGGUGGAGCGGUGAAAUGUGUUGAUAUCAUCAGGAACUCCGGUGGCGAAAGCGGCGCGCUGGACCUUAACUGACGCUGAGGCGCGAAAGCCAGGGGAGCGAACGGGAUUAGAUACCCCGGUAGUCCUGGCCCUAAACGAUGAGAACUAGGUAGUAGACUUGACAUGGGUUUACUGCCGAAGCAAAAGUGCUAAGUUCUCCGCCUGGGGAGUAUGGUCGCAAGGCUGAA